rnacentral:misc_RNA from 1 species
GAUGAAGAACGUAGCGAAAUGCGAUAAGUAAUGUGAAUUGCAGAAUUCAGUGAAUCAUCGAAUCUUUGAACGCACAUUGCGCCCCUUGGUAUUCCGAGGGGCAUGCCUAUUCGAGCGUCAUUAUCACCCCUCAAGCCUAGCUUGGUGUUGAGGCCUGCUGUCAAGGCAGCCUCUAAAAUCAGUGGCAGUGCUGUCAGGCUCUAAGCGUAGUAAAUCUAAUCGCUAUAGACACCUGGUGGACACUCGCCAGAACCCCCCCCAUUUUUUAAUGAUUGACCUCGGAUUAGGUAGGGAUACCCGCUGAACUUAAGCAUAUCAAUAAGCGGAGGA